rnacentral:lncRNA from 1 species
GGAAAUUCUACGCGAUUUCCAAGUUUCACUUAAAGUGAAUAGUAACUCGAUUUUCCGGAGAAGCCGUGGUGAGAAGUUGGCUUCUGGCUCGUACCGGACUCUGUUCAUAGCAGUCCAAUAGCUCGUUUCGACCGGUUCAGCUGUUCUGGAACUAAUGACCCUGACGGAUUUUGAGUUUGACGCACGGAUCUCGAGAAAAUCCAAAAAUACGUGUUUUAUAUGUAUUUUUGUGUGAUUUCUUCUAUUGGUAGAAGGGUUGGAUUUUGUCGUGAAUCCGUGGUCGAUCUAGACGAAACGAAGUUGUAAUUUUGUUGUCUCCGAGGUGCUGAUCGCACCGGUGCAAUCCGUUCGCAAAUCUGACGGACGGAUCUGCGGAGAUCGCGCGUUGAUCGAGGAAAGGUCGGUAGUGGCAAAAUGGUAUUUUCGCGAAAGUCGCGAUAUUUUAUGUACCGUUUCGCGAGGGAUCGCACGUGGAGGGGCGUUCAUGCGUUUUAGUCGUACUGUGAGAGACUCGGAUUGAAAUUCUGAUGUUUGAGGGGCUUU